rnacentral:rRNA from 1 species
CAGUCGCCGCGGUAACACGGAGGGAGCUAGCGUUAUUCGGAAUUACUGGGCGUAAAGCGCACGUAGGCGGCUUUGUAAGUUAGAGGUGAAAGCCUGGAGCUCAACUCCAGAAUUGCCUUUAAGACUGCAUCGCUUGAAUCCAGGAGAGGUGAGUGGAAUUCCGAGUGUAGAGGUGAAAUUCGUAGAUAUUCGGAAGAACACCAGUGGCGAAGGCGGCUCACUGGACUGGUAUUGACGCUGAGGUGCGAAAGCGUGGGGAGCAAACAGGAUUAGAUACCCGGGUAGUCCCUGUCUCUUAUAC